rnacentral:pre_miRNA from 1 species
UACAUACUCCCUCCGUUCGAAAUUACUUGUCUUGGAAAUGAAUGUAUCUAGAACUAAAAUACAUCUAGAUACAUCCAUUUCUACGACAAGUAAUUCCGAACGGAGGGAGUACAUA